GCACAAGCGGAGGAACAUGUGGUUAAUUCGAUGAUACGCGAGGAACCUUACCUGGGCUUAAAUGUAGAGUGCAUUUUUUAGAGAUAGAAAUUCCCUUCGGGGCUUUCUGCAAGGUGCUGCAUGGUUGUCGUCAGCUCGUGCCGUGAGGUGUCGGGUUAAGUCCCAUAACGAGCGCAACCCUUAUCGUUAGUUGCCAGCUGGUAAAGCAGGGGACUCUAGCGAAACUGCCACCGUAAGGUGAGAGGAAGGUGGGAUGACGUCAAAUCAGCACGGCCCUUAUGUCCAGGGCUACACACGUGUUACAAUGGCCGGCACAGAGGGCAGCUACCUGGUGACAGGAUGCUAAUCUCGAAAACCGGUCUCAGUUCGGAUCGAAGUCUGCAACCCGACUUCGUGAAGCUGGAUUCGCUAGUAAUCGCGCAUCAGCCAUGGCGCGGUGAAUACGUUCCCGGGCCUU
rnacentral:rRNA from 1 species